rnacentral:rRNA from 1 species
AGAAUCAACGCUGGCGGCGUGCCUAACACAUGCAAGUCGAACGAGAAAGGGACUUCGGUCCUGAGUAUAGUGGCGCACGGGUGAGUAACACGUGAAUAAUCUACCUCCGAGUGGGGAAUAACCAAAAGAAAUUUUGGCUAAUACCGCAUAACACUUACGAGUCAAAGCAGCAAUGCGCUUGGAGAGGAGUUCGCGGCAGAUUAGUUAGUUGGCGGGGUAAUGGCCCACCAAGACGAUGAUCUGUAUCCGGCCUGAGAGGGCGCACGGACACACUGGAACUGAAACACGGUCCAGACUCCUACGGGAGGCAGCAGUGGGGAAUUUUUGCGCAAUGGGGGAAACCCUGACGCAGCAACGCCGCGUGGAGGAUGAAGUAUCUUGGUACGUAAACUCCUUUCGAUGGGGAAGAUAAUGACGGUACCCAUAGAAGAAGCCCCGGCUAACUUCGCGCCAGCAGCCGC